CAGCACACACAGCUUCUCCGUUACAUUAUGAGAUUAUUUCCUUCUUCCUUCGACUGGCCUGCAAUUAAAAGCUGAGAAGGAUGCAAAACUUGAGCUCGUGCUUGAAACAUGGGUUUGCUUGAAGCUUCUUUUUUUUUGCAGUACUGUGAGAUUUUGUUCCAGAUUAACUGGAAUUAGACUGAAUUCAUGCUGAAUUGAGAAACUUUGAUGUUGUAUGUAUGUGAUGAGAUAUUGGAACAUAAUUUAUUUAUAUAUUGGCUGGUUUGUAUCUU